rnacentral:lncRNA from 1 species
CCCAUCCGGUCUAAAUGGAACCGGACCUUCGACUUUGCUCAAGUUAGGGCGAGGUUCUCCUCCUGUCCCUAACAGGGCUGUGGGGGCUCAUAUGGGCGUUGUAAGGCCUCUCCCCCCAUCCGGUCUAAAUGGAACCGGGCCUUCGACUUUGUCGGGACGUCGUUUUCCUUUCGCUUCUGACACAGUUUGUGCGAAUUGUUUAAAGACAUGCAGGUACGCAACUUGCAAUUAAAAUAAAGUUAUUGGUAGUACACCCGUAAGUUUUUCGAGUUCCACGGUUGCGGGAGGUCGGCUCCUCCGAGUUCCUUAAGAUAAUAAGUUCCUGGCCGGACUACUUCUUUGACUUCAUACGGUCCUUCCCAGUUUGGGGC